UGUUACCGGCUGCAUCUUUCA
rnacentral:miRNA from 1 species